UGGGGGAUAUUGCACAAUGGGCGAAAGCCUGAUGCAGCGACGCCGCGUGGGGGAUGAAGGCUUUCGGGUUGUAAACCUCUUUCAGUAGGGACGAAGCGCAAGUGACGGUACCUGCAGAAGAAGCACCGGCUAACUACGUGCCAGCAGCCGCGGUAAUACGUAGGGUGCGAGCGUUGUCCGGAAUUACUGGGCGUAAAGAGCUCGUAGGCGGUUUGUCACGUCGUCUGUGAAAUCCUAGGGCUUAACCCUGGACGUGCAGGCGAUACGGGCUGACUUGAGUACUACAGGGGAGACUGGAAUUUCUGGUGUAGCGGUGGAAUGCACAGAUAUCAGGAAGAACACCGAUGGCGAAGGCAGGUCUCUGGGUAGUAACUGACGCUGAGGAGCGAAAGCAUGGGUAGCGAACAGG
rnacentral:rRNA from 1 species